CCUCACUCUUUCAAUCCAUUAACUUUUUUACCAUUUUUUUCCUUUCCUUAACACAUCCAUACAUUCAUGUUUAGCUAAUCUCACCCAAAAAACAGCUGAAAAAUUUAAAAAAAAAACACUUUUUCCUUCUAACCCGACCCGCUUACUCAUUUUCAGCUAUGUUUAACUAUAUGUUUAACUAUCUUUCUCAAACACCCAGCAAAUAAAAAUGAACCAUUUUUCCUUCUGACCUGACCCGGUUACCCAUUUUUAGCCAUGUUUGGCCAUCAAGAACUCAAUUGAAAACCCCAAAAUCCCCUUUUUCCUCCGACCCAUUUACGCACUUCAUCCAAAUACCCGAUUCAUUUACCCGUUCGCCCAUUUUCAGCCAUCUUACACAAUUUCAAGAACCCAUCUGAAACUCAAAAUUCUCAGCUUUUUCCUCCAACCCAUUUCACCAAUAAACCCGACCCAUUUACCCAUUUUAUCGAUACAAUAAGCAAUUUUGAGCAUAUUGAUACUCUAAAGACCAAAAAUGAGCAUGAUGAAGAGAACAAUGCUGCGAUUGAAUUGUCCAAGGAGCAGGACCAAAAAACAACAAUUGUUGAUGAAACUGAAGUUGUUGGUAUGGUGGAAUUGAGUAGACAAAAUCAAGUUGAAGUAUUUGAAAAAAAUUCAGGUGAUUUGGCCUGUGAUAAAACAGUUGGAGUGGUGCGACAUUUCGGCGAGUCUAAUCAAUAAAAUCGACCAACUUCUGAGCAAAUGUGUGUUGAACAAAAUUGGAGAAGCGGUCAUUAAUGAAAACAGAGUAAAGAAGAUUAUAACUUUGUUUUUGUGUGUGUGUUCGAUGAAUGUCGGAGUUGGAUUUGGGUUAUAGGGAUUUAAGAAGUGGUGGGG
rnacentral:lncRNA from 1 species